GAUCUAUUCUUUCUAUUUCUGAUUAUAGCUCAGAAGCUGUUAAGAUUCCUGCUUGACUUGAUAAUAGAGCUUGAAAAUCUAUAAACGAAUAUGGGUCUUCUUUCAAAGGAACUCGAAUGACGAACACUUAACCAAAGAUAAGUAACGAUACCCAUUUCUUAAUUUGUAAAUACCUAUGACUUAUAGAUCCAAAAAAUCUAAUCUUUUAUUUUACCUGGUCAGGGUUAAAUUACUUUCAAUAAAAGGAAGAUUAGAGACAACAAUUGGAUUGAAGUUUGGCCUAAAACUUACCUGUGAGUUUUUGAUUUCUUUUUCCUUGCAAGUAGGGACAAAAUUCCGUCUACAAUGGAUCACUAAGCUUUUGAGUGGAGCUUGAAUAUAUAUAAUCGAAUUGAGUCUUCUUUCAAAGUCAGGAAAACAGAUGAAGAACACUAAAUCAAAGAUAAGUAACGAAAUCCUCUUAUUGAUUUGUAGAUGGCUCUACUACAAUUUUUUUUUUUGGACAAACUCUAAUGUUUAAUUUUACAUGGUCAGGGUAAAAUUACUUUCAGUAAGACAUAAUUGGAGAACAAAUGUGUUGAAGGUUGACUUAUAAGAAACCAGUAAUUUGGAUAUAUUUUCCCUUGCAAGUAGUUUUCGAAUUAAAGAUAAGAUACUGAAUCUUUGUUUAGUUUUUUGCAGACUGUAUUUUUCAUUAAAAUCAAGUCUAAUGUGAAUCUGGUUUUAUUUUUGUCAGGUUAAUUCCUGUUACAGGGUUACAUAAGUUAAAACUUUGAAAAUAGAAGUGGAAGAGUAACGAAGCAAUCUAUACUAUAUAUACUGGUUCGUUGAGAUUCUGAGCAAUGAAUAAUAAAAGUGUCUGAUAAUGCAUAUAUUGAUUCUUGUAUUUAGUCAAGGUUGAAGUUCAUAACUGAAGAAAAUAAAUGUAACUACUCUGUGACUGUCACUGUCCAUGACCAUAGUUCCAUUGGUAAAUGACAUCUUGUAAAGAUGCGUGGUUGGUCUGAAUUGACCAGUUGCAUAGCUAAGAGCAAAUGUCUCAAUGAAAACCCAGUUACCAAUAGGAAGCCUAUUCACAUGUUUGUUUACCAAUGAAUUCUUCAGUGAUGCAUGAAUCUUUUUACUCUGAAAGUAUGAAAGACAUAAGAUGCAUUAGUAAUAGAAAAUAAUUGUAUCUCGUAAACGGAAACAUUCUUUCUUACCAUCGAGUCUGACAAAACCAACUCAAGUGUUUCACCAUUUUCGAUGUUUAGACGCCAUGAAUGGAUGACUUUCACUUGAACCCUCCAUGAUGUUUUGUAGGGACAAACAUCUUUCAAGAAAGCAAAAGUAGCAGCCAUAACGUGAGUGAUGCCUUUCGUGAUUGCUUGUGUAUAAUCUUCGUUUUAGGAGAUGCGUAAUUGUUGGGAGAAAAUAUUUGGAAAUCAAGCAGUUUAAACACAAAUCUCGCAGAAGAUCAUCAUGAAAGGCAAGAAAAAUCUUUCUAUUUUCUAUUUAAGUCUUGAAGAUAAACGAUUAGGGGGUAAUAUUUCAGGGUUAUGAGAUUUUACAAAAAGAUGGGCUUGGGCUUGUUAUUUUUUGAGUUGUAAUCGGCGAACCCAUAUUUAGAUUUUUACUAAUAAAGACAGUGGCAAUGCUGUAAAAAAAUUGGAAUUUGAGGAAUUUUUUCAUAAAUG